rnacentral:rRNA from 1 species
CAGUCGCCGCGGUAAUACGGAGGGAGCUAGCGUUGUUCGGAAUUACUGGGCGUAAAGCGCACGUAGGCGGCUUUGUAAGUUAGAGGUGAAAGCCUGGAGCUCAACUCCAGAAUUGCCUUUAAGACUGCAUCGCUUGAAUCCGGGAGAGGUGAGUGGAAUUCCGAGUGUAGAGGUGAAAUUCGUAGAUAUUCGGAAGAACACCAGUGGCGAAGGCGGCUCACUGGACCGGCAUUGACGCUGAGGUGCGAAAGCGUGGGGAGCAAACAGGAUUAGAUACCCGCGUAGUCCCUGUCUUUUAUAA